AUACAUGCCUUUGAUUUUGGAGGUGUCCAAGAUUGACAGUAUUCCCUUUCUCUCUUUUGAUGGUUGGGAUGUUUUUCUGGCUUUGGUAGGAUUUAUUUUGUUGUCUUUUAUUAUAUUUUUAAGUUCAUAUGUUGUAAAUUGUUGGUAUUGGAUGUUGAUAUUGUCUUCUUUUAUGCUUGAAUAUUGAUAUUUUAUGGACUCCAUAGGAGUUGGAGGGGAG
rnacentral:lncRNA from 1 species